UAGACGAAACUCUAUUUUAUCAAAAAUGCUUAAGUAUUUUCCAGUGUGACUCCUGUUGAAGCCGAGGCGAAUAGCUGAAACACGUAGCAUUUCAUCUCUUUUUUGCCUCACCAUUGUACGGAAACCAUGUAGCUGUACGGAUGUGUAAAGAAUGCUGCUGAAUGUAGCUGGAACAGAACAUAUUGGAAUUUUAGCGUCAGGACAUCUUGCUGGUUGGACGAUUAAACAUCCCUCUGUUGGGACACAGACAUUGUGUCUAGUUUGAUCUUUAGAUUAUUUCUGGGAUAAUAACUUUGCCACCAACACUGUGACUUUGAUAACUAGCAGUUGAACAGCCUUUCAAUUCUAAACAAAAGGAGUCAUGUUGACAUGACACUAUAUGGCUGGUAUUGGAGUAGGUAAUGCUGUUUGUGUGCAGAAUAUGUCUCUGAGAAGGGGUUCUAUUAUGGUAGGAGUAUCGUGUUUUACUACAGGCUGACCAGAAUCACAAACACAUCGAUUGAAAACUUUCAUCAAUUUCAACAAUUGGUUAAAAAUCAUUUUCUAGGCUGUUUGUGGUAAAGUAUAUUAUAUUAUAGCUAUGAAUUCAUAUAAUCCCAUCAAAUUGAAAUGAUUGUACCAAUUUGUAUCUACCGUUGUCGAAGCUUUGUAAACUAUAGGUUCCUAAAGACAUAGACAGACAUACACAUAAACUAACACUGCAACUUCGAAGACUAGCAGUUGAACAGCCUUUAAAUUUCAAACAAAAGGAGUUGUGGUAAUUGUAUGAUUUGUACACAUUUCUAAAUAACCUAUUAUUUAUCUAGAUUUAUCCAUUGAUAUGACACUUACUAUGGAUGGUCACGGAGUAAUGUUCGAAGUAUCGUGUUUUAGGACAGGUUGAUGAGAAUCAAACACAUUGUAUAUUAUAGUAUGGUAAGCAACAUUUUGGAUUCACGUGGGCAGAGAAUACUUUAAUAGUAAUAGGAAUGGUUAUGGUAAUGCCAAUUUUUAUAAUAUAUUAUAUUUAUAAUAAUAUGUAAAUCAAUUUUAUAAAUAUAGGGUAUAUUACAUUGCAAUAAUGAAUGUUAGUUAUCCCACCAAAUGGAUAAUAAUUGUACGUUUUACUUUGUUUAAUUGUACUUUGUAAGCCAUAGGUCUUCUACUUAGCUUAUUUUCAGUGAACAGGAAAAGUUGGCUUCGUAAUUUCCCAACAAUGUUAAAUUUACUUUAAGUUAGAACAGUUGAAAUAUCAAUUAGAUUCACAUGUGCAGGGUAAAUUUUUUUAUAGUGUUUUGCAGGUAAAAGAACAGCCUGGUUGCAAACUUUUACCCAUUUCGUGGCAAUGAAUGUAUUUCUGAUCCAGUCUUCAAUACCCACAAAUGCCAAGGUACACAGACAUUUCUAAACUGAAACUGUUAAUCUGGAAAAAAAAAAACAACUUGCAAACCAGCUUGUUCCCUUCAUAAAAAAAACUUGCUUU